GAUGAACGCUGGCGGCGUGCCUAAUACAUGCAAGUCGAGCGAACAGACGAGGAGCUUGCUCCUCUGACGUUAGCGGCGGACGGGUGAGUAACACGUGGAUAACCUACCUAUAAGACUGGGAUAACUUCGGGAAACCGGAGCUAAUACUGGAUAAUAUAUUGAACCGCAUGGUUCAAUAGUGAAAGACGGUUUUGCUGUCACUUAUAGAUGGAUCCGCGCCGCAUUAGCUAGUUGGUAAGGUAACGGCUUACCAAGGCGACGAUGCGUAGCCGACCUGAGAGGGUGAUCGGCCACACUGGAACUGAGACACGGUCCAGACUCCUACGGGAGGCAGCAGUAGGGAAUCUUCCGCAAUGGGCGAAAGCCUGACGGAGCAACGCCGCGUGAGUGAUGAAGGUCUUCGGAUCAUAAAACUCUGUUAUUAGGGAAGAACAAAUGUGUAAGUAACUAUGCACGUCUUGACGGUACCUAAUCAGAAAGCCACGGCUAACUACGUG
rnacentral:rRNA from 1 species